UACGUAGGGUGCAAGCGUUGUCCGGAAUUAUUGGGCGUAAAGAGCUCGUAGGCGGUUUGUCGCGUCUGCUGUGAAAACUCGGGCUUAACUCCGGGCCUGCAGUGGGUACGGGCAGACUAGAGUGCGGGUAGGGGAGACUGGAAUUCCUGGUGUAGAGGUGAAAAUUCGUAGAUAUUCGCAAGAACACCAGUGGCGAAAGCGGCCACCUGGACUCGCACCUGACGCUGACACGCGAAAGCUAGGGGAGCGAACGGG
rnacentral:rRNA from 1 species